rnacentral:tRNA from 1 species
AAAAAGAUAAGCUAAAUAAUUUAAAGCUUCCGGACUCAUACUCCAGAUAUAAAGAUAAACUUUUCUUUUUU